rnacentral:rRNA from 1 species
GACAGAGGUCCCGAGCGUUAGGCGGAAUCACUGGGCGUAAAGCGCACGUAGGCGGAUUGUUAAGUCAGGGGUGAAAUCCUGGAGCUCAACUCCAGAACUGCCUUUGAUACUGGCGAUCUCGAGUCCGGGAGAGGUGAGUGGAACUGCGAGUGUAGAGGUGAAAUUCGUAGAUAUUCGCAAGAACACCAGUGGCGAAGGCGGCUCACUGGCCCGGUACUGACGCUGAGGUGCGAAAGCGUGGGGAGCAAACAGG